rfam:Triticum aestivum genome assembly, contig: Triticum_aestivum_CS42_TGACv1_scaffold_158254_2DL
AUAUCUUUCUCGGCUUUUUGGCUAAGAUCAAAUGUACUAUCUGUUUUUAUCAGUUUAAUAUCUGAUAUAUGGAUUCUCAUAUCCACAUGAUAUUAAAUUAUUUUUUUAGGGGAGGAUUCGCACAUGUGGCUUUCUACAUGGGUUCUCGCGUAUCGCGCUAGCGUUGCACUAUUGCUAGGGCCUGGUGCACCCCAA